rnacentral:rRNA from 2 species
AUCCCCGGGCUCAACCUGGGAACUGCAUUCGAAACUGGCAGGCUAGAGUCUUGUAGAGGGGGGUAGAAUUCCAGGUGUAGCGGUGAAAUGCGUAGAGAUCUGGAGGAAUACCGGUGGCGAAGGCGGCCCCCUGGACAAAGACUGACGCUCAGGUGCGAAAGCGUGGGGAGCAAACAGGAUUAGAUACCCUGGUAGUCCACGCCGUAAACGAUGUCGAUUUGGAGGUUGUGCCCUUGAGGCGUGGCUUCCGGAGCUAACGCGUUAAAUCGACCGCCUGGGGAGUACGGCCGCAAGGUUAAAACUCAAAUGAAUUGACGGGGGCCCGCACAAGCGGUGGAGCAUGUGGUUUAAUUCGAUGCAACGCGAAGAACCUUACCUG